CAAAAUCUAUUAAGUGGACCCAAAUCCUCAGAUUGUUGCAUCAUCGCAGAUAUGGGGCCCGAUUGGGAAAUCUGAUCAAAUCUGAACCGAAACUCAACCCAAUAAAAAAAUGCAGCCGAAAGCCUGCAGAGAAUCGGUUUGUAUUGUAGCAAAUGUGAAAUCAACGAAGGCCAGUUCAUGAGGGGUCAAAAAUCAAAUAUGGCAGGCAAGUGGUAGUGGGUCACCACUUAGAACCUCUGAAGCUCACAAGAGCCGAUGCGCAAGCCAUUUUUCGGGGCGGGACCCCCAAAAGAAAUGGCUGCGUGCGGGUUUAAUUCCUUCGUGCGGUGGGUUUCAUUUGGACUUUGAAUGCUGGCUGCUACUGCUAGCCAGUAGCCACUACUUUGAUUUUGAACCGUCAAGCAAUUGACCACACACGGUGCGUCACCCCUGGCUUUACCCGAAAGGCUUCUCUGUUUACUCUUCAGUGCGUAGUCUAAUGCAUGAACCGACACCUCCUUUUUUUUUUCUCUCCCUAUAAUUUGGGUGACAAAUUGACUAUUUGACGGCAAGUUACCAGAUUUUUU
rnacentral:lncRNA from 1 species